rnacentral:rRNA from 1 species
GUAAUAUAUCGGAACGUACCCUAGGGUGGGGGAUAACGUAGCGAAAGUUACGCUAAUACCGCAUACGCUCUACGGAGGAAAGCAGGGGACCGCAAGGCCUUGCGCUCAUGGAGCGGCCGAUAUCGGAUUAGCUUGUUGGUGGGGUAAAAGCCCACCAAGGCGACGAUCCGUAGCUGGUCUGAGAGGACGACCAGCCACACUGGGACUGAGACACGGCCCAGACUCCUACGGGAGGCAGCAGUGGGGAAUUUUGGACAAUGGGGGCAACCCUGAUCCAGCCAUGCCGCGUGUGUGAAGAAGGCCUUCGGGUUGUAAAGCACUUUUGUCCGGAACGAAACGGUUGAUGCGAAUAACUUCAGCUAAUGACGGUACCGGAAGAAUAAGCACCGGUAACUACGUGCCAGCAGCCGCGGUAAUACGUAGGGUGCAAGCGUUAAUCGGAAUUACUGGGCGUAAAGCGCGCGUAGACGGUUUGUACGUCAGAUGUGAAAUCCCCGGGCUCAAACCUGGGAACUGAUUGAGAACUGAUGGUUAGAAGGUAUCAAAGAGG